rnacentral:rRNA from 1 species
ACGAACGCUGGCGGCAUGCCUAACACAUGCAAGUCGAACGAUCCCUUCGGGGAUAGUGGCGCACGGGUGCGUAACGCGUGGGAACCUGCCCUUAGGUUCGGAAUAACUCAGAGAAAUUUGAGCUAAUACCGGAUAAUGUCUUCGGACCAAAGAUUUAUCGCCUUUGGAUGGGCCCGCGUUGGAUUAGCUAGUUGGUGGGGUAAAGGCCUACCAAGGCGACGAUCCAUAGCUGGUCUGAGAGGAUGAUCAGCCACACUGGGACUGAGACACGGCCCAGACUCCUACGGGAGGCAGCAGUGGGGAAUAUUGGACAAUGGGCGAAAGCCUGAUCCAGCAAUGCCGCGUGAGUGAUGAAGGCCUUAGGGUUGUAAAGCUCUUUUACCCGGGAUGACAAUGACAGUACCGGGAGAAUAAGCCCCGGCUAACUCCGUG